rnacentral:tRNA from 1 species
GGGGAGAUGCCAGAGUGGCCAAUUGGGGCGGACUGUAAAUCCGUUGCUGUAUAGCUUCGAAGGUUCGAAUCCUUCUCUCCCCAC